rnacentral:rRNA from 1 species
AUUGAACGCUGGCGGUAGGCCUAACACAUGCAAGUCGAACGCGAAAGUCCUUCGGGAUGAGUAGAGUGGCGGACGGGCGAGUAACGCGUAGGAAUCUAUCCUGUAGUGGGGGAUAACGUUUCGAAAGGAACGCUAAUACCGCAUACGCCCCAAGGGGGAAAGCGGGGGAUCUUCGGACCUCGUGCUAUAGGAGGAGCCUGCGUUCUAUCAGCUUGUUGGCGGGGUAACAGCCCACCAAGGCUACGACGGAUCCCUGGUCUGAGAGGACGAUCAGGCACACUGGAACUGAGACACGGUCCAGACACCUACGGGUGGCAGCAGUCGAGAAUAAUUCACAAUGGGGGCAACCCUGAUGGUGCAACGCCGCGUGGAGGAUGAAGGUCUUCGGAUUGUAAACUCCUGUCAUCCGGGAGCAAGACCUGACGGGUAACAGCCGGCAGGGUUGAUAGUACCGGAAGAGGAAGGGACGGCUAACUUCGUGCCAGCAGCCGCGGUAAAAC